rnacentral:tRNA from 1 species
GGCUGAUUAGCUCAGUAAGUUGAGCUUAGCACUAACAACGCCAAGGUCACAGGUUCGAUUCCCGUUCGGUCC